CCCCUCGUCGCUGUGCGCCCCGCCCACGGAGGAGGUCACGCCCCCUUCCGGUGGCUGUCUUGCUGGGAGCAGAAGAGGCGAGUCCAGGCGGGGCUUGGCCUGACAGGCCCGGAGGUGAACCGCCCCUUUCGCGGUUGGCUCAGGAAAGAGCCAGAUUUGUUUGUUUGUUUGCUUGCUUAUAGCUUUUCCUUCUCUCAACUCCUCGCUCACCCAGAAAUAGAGUCUUGCCGUAAAAUGUUGCUUUUAAAGAUCUCCGACAUCUCGAAUCAUGCAAGGUUUCACAGAGGUUUAUGGAUCUAUAUCAACUGCUCGCUUUAUGCCAGUCCUUGCUGUGGGAGAUACUAGCAGAUUUCAGGGAAAUCCAUCCUCUAAAGCCAGGAUUUUUUGGCUAUGGGUGUUCUGAAUGUGGAAUUUCCAACACAAGUAUUUUCUGGAAAAUGAGAAGUGCUCACUAAGUAUCUGUAGAAUGAAUAAGUGAUUAUUAAAGGAAGACUGUGGACACGGACACCCAGGAGCACCGUGAUUAAACAGGGACACCCUGUUCAAGCAAAAACUACCUUGAACACUUUCGGCUAAACUCAAGCUAUCAUGCUAUUUCAUAACCCAGAAGAUGAGAACCUAUGGAUUGCUUCUAGGCUCAUAUGGUUUGAUUAGCCAAGACCCCCUUAAAGGUGUCUGAUGACACCAUGACCCAGAUGACAUCCACAAUGGCUUCAAUGUAACUGGCUCAGACAAUGCAGCCUCAUGACUGUUCCAGAGAGGACUUGACCAUAAUUCUUAAUUUUCUCAGGAUCUUUAUAAGAUUGCAGUGCACCUAACCAGCAGGAAGUAGUAUGAGAAGCUAUGCCCAAAUUCCCAAAAUAUUGUUUAUGAAUGUUUAUUUUUUA